GACGAACGCUGGCGGCGUGCUUAACACAUGCAAGUCGAACGGUGAAGCGCCUUCCUUUUUGGUGGGUGUGGAUGAGUGGCGAACGGGUGAGUAACACGUGAGUAACCUGCCCCCUUCUUCUGGAUAACCGCAUGAAAGUGUGGCUAAUACGGGAUAUUCUGGGUCUGUCGCAUGAUGGGUCUGGGAAAGAUAUUGUUUCGGUGGGGGAUGGGCUCGCGGCCUAUCAGCUUGUUGGUGGGGUGAUGGCCUACCAAGGCGGUGACGGGUAGCCGGCCUGAGAGGGUGGACGGUCACACUGGGACUGAGACACGGCCCAGACUCCUACGGGAGGCAGCAGUGGGGAAUAUUACACAAUGGGCGCAAGCCUGAUGCAGCGACGCCGCGGGAGGGAUGGAGGCCUUCGGGUUGUGAACCUCUUUCGCCAGUGAAGCAGGCCUGCCUCGUUUGUGGGUGGGUUGACGGUAGCUGGAUAAGAAGCGCCGGCUAACUACGUG
rnacentral:rRNA from 1 species